rnacentral:sRNA from 1 species
CGGGCUGGAGGGAUCCGGUUGGGGGGUUCCAAGUCCCACAGAAGGUGAAGUGGGUGACCCAUGAGUAUCCCUGAACUGAGUGAAGAGUAAAUGAUGCAUAGGAAGUUUAGAUAAGGGAGGAGAAAGUGUUCCAGGUAGAGGGAACAGCAUAUGCAGAAGCCAGGAAGGAGAUGAGAUCAUAGUGUGUGUUUGGAAACAGAAAGAAGUAAUAGGGCUGAGAGGAUGGGAGAGAGGGGAACGCUGGACAAGAGGACUUGGGCUUGGGGGGCAUGAGGAGGUCACCAUUUAUACUACACCCAGUACAGAUGUCCACUGAGGGACCCAUUGCCACUCCCCUCCCCAGGUCCCUGAAGACUUCAUCUCCCGAGAGCUGUUUGACACAGUCCAAGUGUACAUCAUCACCAAGCCAGAGCUGCAGAACAAGCUUAUCACUGUGUGAGACCCUAGCUCGGGGUGAGCGGUGGGUGGCAGGGGUUGUCCCAGGAGGAGGAAGGGACAGGCUUGGGGGCCUGACUGUGUUCCAAUUAUCCAGCACAGCUAUGGAAAAGAAGCUGAUCGGCUGUCCUGUGUGCAUCGAACACAAGAAGUACAGCCGCAAUGCCCUCCUCUUCAACCUGGGCUUCGUGUGUGAUGCCCAGGCCAAGACCUGCGCCCUCGAGCCCAUCGUUAAAAAGCUGGCUGGCUAUCUGACCACACUAGAGGUCUGCAAUGAGAUGGGCUUGGGUUUACGGACAGGCAGAGUUGGGGAAGGUGUUCCCAUGUCUCCAAAGUCCCCCAAACCUGGGACCCUGCCAACCAGCUCAGGACUCAGGGCAGCCAACCAGCCAGGGGUCCUGGGAUGUGCCCACCAUGCUUUCCAUGCUCUAUCUAGCUAGAGAGCAGCUUCGUGUCCAUGGAGGAGAGCAAGCAGAAGUUGGUGCCCAUCAUGACCAUCUUGCUGGAGGAGCUAAAUGCCUCAGGCCGGUGCACUCUGCCCAUUGGUAUGGCCAGCCUCUGCAAGGACAGCAGAGGGGUAGAGAAGAGAUGGGAAAGUGAGCCCAGCCAGUCAGGGAGAAGGACAAGACUCACGAACACACUGGUGGGCAGGAAAUAGCCAUGGGCUGGGGUGCCCAUGUCCAGGGUCCAAUGCAUGAUGGAGCUGGGACUGGGGGUAGGGGGAAAGCAGAGCUCUCCAGCUCUGCUCCUUGGGCAAUUCCUUCCCCUUUGUGGGACUCAGUUUUUCACUCCAUAAAAAGAAAGAUUAGCCCUACCCAGAGGCACCUGCUUGCCCCAAGGGAUGCUGGGAGGCCUGGAUGGUAAUUGAGGGCCUCUUGGAAGAAGUGGCACUGAGGAUAUGGAUGGGGCCCCCUGCAGAUGAGUCCAACACCAUCCACUUGAAGGUGAUUGAGCAGCGGCCAGACCCUCCGGUGGCCCAGGAGUAUGAUGUACCUGUCUUUACCAAAGACAAGGAGGAUUUCUUCAAUUCACAGUGGGACCUCACUACACAACAAAUCCUGCCCUACAUUGAUGGGUUCCGCCACGUCCAGAAGAUUUCAGCAGAGGCAGAUGUGGAGCUCAACCUGGUGCGCAUUGCUAUCCAGAACCUGCUGUGAGUGGGCCUACAGUCAUACCCAUUACAAGGUCACCAGCCAGGGAAGACCUCAGGGGCCCUGGGUGUGAGGGUUGGGAAGGCAUGGUCCUCAGAAGCUGAGCACAACUCUCUCUCUCAGGUACUAUGGCGUUGUGACACUGGUGUCCAUCCUCCAGGUAGUACUCCAAUGUAUACUGCCCAACGCCCAAGGUCCAGGACCUGGUAGAUGACAAGUCCCUGCAGGAGGCAUGUCUAUCCUACGUGACCAAGCAAGGUAGUGGUGGGCUCUGAGGGAAGCCAUCUUGGGGAGGGCAGAGCCACAUGGUGAGCUGAUCCCUGGCACCCACAGGGCACAAGAGGGCCAGUCUCCGGGAUGUGUUCCAGCUAUACUGCAGCCUGAGCCCUGGCACUACCGUGCGAGACCUCAUUGGCCGCCACCCCCAGCAGCUGCAGCACGUUGAUGAACGGUCAGAGGAGAAUUUGCUGGGGCAUUUGGGAGUUACCUGAGGGAAGCUAGACCCUUUAUGUCUCUCAGGAGCCCUGGGUCAUGGGGCACUGCCAAUCCAAGCAGGCUUCCUGGAGAUGAUGGGCUACAGAGACAAAAUUGAAGGGAGACUACAGGAAGGGGUUGGCCUGCCUGAAAGAAGGCCUGGCCAGGGCGUCACCUCUCUGUCCUCUGAUCCUCACCCUAGGAAGCUGAUCCAGUUCGGGCUUAUGAAGAACCUCAUCAGGCGACUACAGAAGUAUCCUGUGCGGGUGACUCGGGAAGAGCAGAGCCACCCUGCCCGGCUUUAUACAGGCUGCCACAGCUAUGACGAGAUCUGCUGCAAGACAGGCAUGAGCUACCAUGAGCUGGAUGAGCGGCUUGAAAAUGACCCCAACAUCAUCAUCUGCUGGAAGUGAGGCUGGUAGUGGCUGGAUGGACACAUUGCUGUGGGUAGUCCCUCCUACCAGGAGGCUUGUCAUACUGUCUAGAGGUUGACUCUUAGUUCUGUAAAUAAAGACAUCCAUUUCAAAC